AUGCCCCAAAGUGUGAACGAUGAUGCAUACAUGUCAACUAUGGGUGUUGGCUCGAACAAUUCGCAUUGGUCUCAAACCAACGACAUGCAUUUUGAAGACCAUGAGUUCGAGGUGGACGAAAAUGAUGAGGGCAUUGCCGACACACUGAAAGGAAAAGCGGGCAAUUACUCCAACGCCGAAGACAUCUUAAUAUGCAAUACUUGGUUGCAAGUGUCGAGGGAUCCAUCCAUUGGAGGUGAUCAAAGUAGAGAUGCUUAUUGGCUCCGGAUGAAAGAACUCUUUGAUCUUCUCAACGUGAGUGCAAUUGACCGCUCAGGACGAUCACUUCGCUCCCGAUGGUCGACCAUCAAUAGGGAUUGUCAACAAUGGUCGGCCGCAUAA
rnacentral:rRNA from 1 species